rnacentral:rRNA from 1 species
UAACUGGAGAGUUUGAUCCUGGCUCAGAAUGAACGCUGGCGGCGUGCUUAACACAUGCAAGUCGAACGAGAAAGAGAUUGCUUGCAAUCUUGAGUAGAGUGGCGCACGGGUGAGUAACACGUAGAUAAUCUACCCCUAAGCCCGGGAUAACCAUUCGAAAGGAUGGCUAAUACCGGAUGCAGUUUCUGCGCACAGGCGCAGAGAUGAAAGACUGCCUCUUCAUGAAAGCAGUUGUUUGGGGAUGAGUUUGCGUACCAUUAGCUUGUUGGUGGGGUAAGGGCCUACCAAGGCUGUGAUGGUUAGCUGGUCUGAGAGGAUGAUCAGUCACACUGGAACUGGAACACGGUCCAGACUCCUACGGGAGGCAGCAGUGAGGAAUUUUGCGCAAUGGGGGCAACCCUGACGCAGCAACGCCGCGUGAGUGAAGAAGGCCUUUGGGUCGUAAAGCUCUGUCAACCGGGAAGAAGUUAUGCAGAAUGAAUAGUGCUGCAUAUUGACGGUACCGGUGGAGGAAGCGCCGGCUAACUCCGUGCCAGCAGCCGCGGUAACACGGGGGGCGCAAGCGUUAUUCGGAAUUAUUGGGCGUAAAGGGCGCGUAGGCGGUUCUGUCG